GGGCCGCACGCGCGCUACACUGACUGGUUCAACGAGUUUUUCACCCUGGGUUCGACAGGCCUGGGUAAUCUUGCAACGCCAGUCGUGAUGGGGAUAGAUUCUUGCAAUUAUUGAUCUUCAACGAGGAAUUCCUAGUAAACGCAAGUCAUCAACUUGCAUUGAUUACGUCCCUGCCCUUUGUACACACCGCCCGUCGCACCUACCGAUUGGAUGGUCCGGUGAAACCUUCGGAGGGGUGCGCUCGCUGCCUUCACGGGCGGCGGCGCCGCCAAAGUUGGGUAAACCUUACCAUCUAGAGGAAGGUGAAGUCGUAACAAGGUUUCCGUAGGUGAACCUGCGGAAGGAUC
rnacentral:rRNA from 1 species